UUUUAGUGUUGUUCAUCUUCAUUUUUGCCCUUAAAAGCAAGGUAUAAAGGUUGAAAUGAAUUUCAAAAUGAUAAGUCUGCAGUUCCCUACAUAGUGGGAUGGGGCACAGGAAAAAGAAAUGUAUAUGAGGCAGAAACUUUUGUCAAAAUUGAUGAUGUUAGACUUUUGUAAUUUUAAAAUCAGAUGCACAUCUGAAUAAACUAUGGUCUUGAUGUUAUGGGGAUGCCAAAUGAUGUCAUUAAUGUAACUUAUUUUUAAGUUCUACUUUUUGAGAAUGCUGGUGAGACAUUCCAAGCAAAAGUCAUGUAUCUGCAAGAAAUUGAUACUGAAACUUAGAGGUUGAGCAUUGUGAAGUGGAUAAAUUUCAUGUAAUGAGGAAUUCUGAGAAAUCAUUUUCUUUUGUAAUCAAGAUUUUAACCUGAUAAUGUUGGUAGCAUAUAUUUGUACUA